rnacentral:misc_RNA from 1 species
UACGUAGGUGGCAAGCGUUGUCGGGACUUAUUGUGCGUAACGGGAGCGCAGGCGGCCUCUUAAGUCUGAUGUGAAAGCCCCCGGCUCAACCGGGGAGGGCCAUUGGAAACUCGGAGGCUUGAAUAUAGGAGAGAAGAGUGGAAUUCCACGUGUAGCGGUGAAAUGCGUAGAGAUGUGGAGGAACACCAGUGGCGAAGGCGACUCUUUGGUCUAUAACUGACGCUGAGGCGCGAAAGCGUGGGGAGCAAACAGG